ensembl:lincRNA Gm16225 predicted gene 16225
GCGGCCUAGGUCCAUUGGCUAGGCCACUGUCACCUGGGCUGUGAUGUCACGGCCCCUUAGAAGAUCUUGUGGCUACAUGCCCCCCCCCCUUUGGAGGCUGAAAGGAAAAGAAUAAAAAGAGAGAGAGAAGGGUGCUGUGAGAUCUUGCAGACCUCACUCUCUGAACCUGGUUUCCUGGACCAUGUGGCCAUCUGUGGUACUCCCCCCACCAACCUCGCCCCCCUAUCCCCUGAAGUUAGAGGAGCCAAAGAGAAAAAUAAAACACCCAUGAAUAGAA